rnacentral:rRNA from 1 species
CCUACGGGAGGCAGCAGUGAGGAAUAUUGGUCAAUGGCCGGGAGGCUGAACCAGCCAAGUCGCGUGAGGGAAGACGGCCCUACGGGUUGUAAACCUCUUUUGUCAGGGAGCAAGGUGCAGGUCGGGACCUGCUGUGAGAGUACCUGAAGAAAAAGCAUCGGCUAACUCCGUACCAGCAGCCGCGGUAAUACGGAGGAUGCGAGCGUUAUCCGGAUUUAUUGGGUUUAAAGGGUGCGCAGGCGGAGGCACAAGUCAGCGGUAAAAUCGCGGGGCUCAACCCCGCUCCGCCGUUGAAACUGUGGCCCUUGAGUGCGCGAAGGGUAGGCGGAAUGCGUGGUGUAGCGGUGAAAUGCAUAGAUAUCACGCAGAACUCCGAUCGCGAAGGCAGCCUACCGGCGCGCAACUGACGCUCAUGCACGAAAGCGUGGGUAUCGAACAGGAUUAGAUACCCUAGUAGUC